GUGGGGAAUAUUGGACAAUGGGGGGAACCCUGAUCCAGCCAUGCCGCGUGUGUGAAGAAGGCCUUUUGGUUGUAAAGCACUUUAAGCGAGGAGGAGGCUACCGAGAUUAAUACUCUUGGAUAGUGGACGUUACUCGCAGAAUAAGCACCGGCUAACUCUGUACCAGCAGCCGCGGUAAUACAGAGGGUGCAAGCGUUAAUCGGAUUUACUGGGCGUAAAGCGCGCGUAGGUGGCCAAUUAAGUCAAAUGUGAAAUCCCCGAGCUUAACUUGGGAAUUGCAUUCGAUACUGGUUGGCUAGAGUAUGGGAGAGGAUGGUAGAAUUCCAGGUGUAGCGGUGAAAUGCGUAGAGAUCUGGAGGAAUACCGAUGGCGAAGGCAGCCAUCUGGCCUAAUACUGACACUGAGGUGCGAAAGCAUGGGGAGCAAACAGGAUUAGAUACCCGUGUAGUCC
rnacentral:rRNA from 1 species